GCCCGGGUGGCGGAACUGGCAGACGCGGGGGGCUUAAACCCCCCUGAUCCUUCGGGGUCGUGCGGGUUCAAAUCCCGCCCCGGGCA
rnacentral:tRNA from 2 species